ACGAGGAACAUGGAAUAUUUGUCCAGCAGGGUAUUUUCUAUAUGGUCUGUAUCGUUCGUGUGGCAAUCACUUAUCAAACAUCGAAAGAGGGAUGUGUUGCAAACCAUUUAAUCAUCCCAAAAAAUAUGGUCGCUGUAGCCAUGAAAAAAUUGAUUUCAAAAAGAAAGGAUGGACAAUGUGCAAAAAAGAUGGCUACUACAUUGCUGGGUUAAGACGAGAUUAUAAAGGGAAUUGGCUUCAUAAUAUUGAUUACUUGAGAUGCUGUAAAAUGUGGAAAGGUUGAAGCUCUAUGGCACCCACUUGACACGUUAUAAUGGGUUAUGGUUUCAGAAGAAAAAAAUAUUUGUUGUAGUCAGAAAGUGUAUUUUACUUAAUUACUUAGCUUACUGUUUAAUAAAACUU